UAAAACAAAAGGCUUGAAAUAGUUCACUUUGUGAUGAACCUAAAAUAUAUGACACUUUUUGAAUUUAUACUUUUCCAUGAUAUUCCAUUGUUUUGAGAUGCGUCUGUACAUGAUGUAUUUGUCUAUUAAACUCUUCAACCCUGUUGGUCCCAGUGUUUGGUUCAUCAGAUGCAUCCUGCUUGGCAGAGCUUUGUUCAAAUGCACAACACUUUAUGUGAAAUUCUAGAGGAGAUGAAUUACAGGGAAAUGUGUACAUGUGCACACAUGAAGUUUGGUGUGGUUAUGGUUUUAUCUAGAAGUGACAAAGGACCACCAUAUUACAAACAAUAUAAUAAACAAUAAAAUAAUUUCAGUGAAAGUUACAAUUAGGUGCCUAAAUCCAAUGAACAGUGGCACUUUGCCUCCCUAGGUGGGGGAGGAGGUAGACCUACCACUAAUUAACAGCACAGAGCACUACAAAAACAUGCAAAAACAUCAAUAAUUAGCAAGGAUUCAAAUGCUUGCAUCUCCUCAGUUAAUCAGUUAAUAAUCAUACACAGCGGCCACUUACCCACAACAAACAGGCUGUAAUAAUAAGGCAAAGUGACCAAACAACAUUCAUCAGUAAGGAUCCAUAUCUUCAGCCUACACUGAUUCAUUAUCUAGCCACCUUCACACAUGAAUCCAUAAACAUUUAAGAAACAAAUACACCAGUCACACAUAAGCCUUAAUCUCUGCAUUGGUGAAGGGGAGCCCCAACAUGCACUCAGUCCUGCUGCCACACAACAAUACAGUGCAGGAGGAUUUAUAGACAGACAGGCAAUCAGUGGAAAUGAGCUCAGGUGAGAGUGGGCUCAGGUGAGAGUGGGCAGGUUCAUAUCAAGCAGGUGGAGGAGGAGUGAUGACUGGUAUGGCUCUCUUCAACAGGUCGUUUGUUCCAGCCCUCUAAUGCGACCAAUAGGAGCGUUUAAAAUUAAGAGCAUGUACAGCGGUCAGGAGCGUCUCUAACACGACUCAAAGGACCUUUAUUGAGUGAACUAGCUAGCAAGCUAAUCAACAAACACAGCUCGCAAGCCAGCUCACUACCCACUACAAAUACUUGGUUAAGGUCAGUAAAAUGUUAUUGUUAAGGUUAGGAAAAGGUUUGUUAUAAUGGUUAACGUGAGGAAAAGAUCAGAAAACGAACAGUGCUUUGGCUUUAUUUACAGGGCCACUAGAGGGCAUUUAACUUCAAAACAUAACUACGGGUCAUCGUAAGCCGCUGCAGCCUACAGGCGGCCUAUGGGCUUGUUUUGCGCUGGAGGACAGACUCAAAAGAUUGAUACAGUUAUUGAUUAAAUUGGUGUCCACAUUUAGUCUGGUCCAAGACGUUUGAUGAUGCUCAGUGAGCAAGGAAACACAAAACUUAUGCGUCUCUUCCCCUCACUCAAUGCACUAAAAAAAAAAAAAAAAAAAAAAAAAAAAAAAUCUCCUUUAAA